AUUGAACGCUGGCGGCAUGCCUUACACAUGCAAGUCGAACGGCAGCGCGGGGCAACCUGGCGGCGAGUGGCGAACGGGUGAGUAACAUAUCGGAACAUACCCUAGAGUGGGGGAUAACGUAGCGAAAAGUUACGCUAAUACCGCAUACGCACUAAGGUGGAAAGUGGGGGAUCUUCGGACCUCAUGCUCAUGGAGUGGCCGAUAUCUGAUUAGCUAGUUGGUGAGGUAAAGGCUCACCAAGGCGACGAUCAGUAGCUGGUUUGAGAGAACGACCAGCCACACUGGAACUGAGACACGGUCCAGACUCCUACGGGAGCAGCAGUGGGGAAUUUUGGACAAUGGGGGGCAACCCUGAUCCAGCAAUGCCGCGUGAGUGAAGAAGGCCUCGG
rnacentral:rRNA from 1 species